CAAAAGUUACAGAUGUGCACAGGGACCUCGCAGUCCGCGCGGCUGCCUACAGCAGAGGAGAGAAGAGAGAACGCCGCAGGGCGCGCCGUUGGCUUCUGCGUGAGUGACAACGCUGCUUUCCCAGUUCGACCCCGUCUCCUCUGCGUUCCGCGGAGGGCUGCAGUGAGCAUCGUUUAUCCUUUGGAGCAUUUAUCCUUCGCCAGGAAGAGCCAGUUGUGUUUGGUCCCUCGUGCCUGGCCAUUCCCAGGCUGGAUUCUUCGGAGGUGGGCUUUUACACUCUCCUUAGUGGAUUCUGACUUCCUGUGUCUGACGAGCCUGGGCAGUACUACAUCUCCUGACCAGGGACCGAAAGUGCCCUGGUAGGCUCAUUCCACACCCGGCUUCUCGUCAGGAAGAGCUUACCCAGGCAUUCAGGCAUCAGGAUCAAUGAUGAACUUUCAAAAAGGAAAAAGAUGGAAAAUCAUCGAAAUUAUCAUAAUCUGUGCUCACAGCUAAAUAAGUGUUUCUUUGUAGCAUGUGUAGAGUUCAGGGAAAUUAUAUUUCUGUGUUAUUUAGUCUACCAGCCACCUAUCUGCAUACUGUCUUCAUCUAGACUAUUCUUGAAAGCAGAGCCUGAGACAAAGGUAGAGACAUAUUCUAUUUGGAAAUGUGGUCCCAGGGAACAAGGAUGAGAUGGGAGAAAACAGGUGGAAAAGGAAAGAAUGUCCAAGCAAAACAGGUAGUGUUAGUGAGUGGCCCACUAGUGUUCUUGGCUACUUAGUGCAGAACCCUCCCAGUAUCCUAAUUAAACUGUGUCUCAGAAUUGUCUGCCUGAGGGAUGAAAAGAAGAAGCAUUUAUCUGUCAGCUGAUCUCACCUGUGUGCUGAGGGCUGCUCCCAGGGGGCAGCAACACCCCCACGAGGAGAGCCUCACUGCGCUACAGCAUCACACGUGCUGCAGAGGAGAAGCUUCAGGACAAGAAGCUAGAUUCUUGAUACAAGCCUGAGAUGAGGCACGGUCAGCACAGAGCAGGGUGAAACCUGCCCAGAGCUGUUCACCAAAGCCACAGCUGGAAUUGGAGGUGGAGGACAUGGGAGGCAGUGCACAGGAGGCAUUUCUGAAGCCUAGAGAAUGUGCUGUUAGCCUUGUCUAAAUCCUCUCUCCUUUCUAUCAUCACAAUUUUAUUGUCCAGAACAGAGGUUGGCAGAGGGCUAAAUAGGAAGGCUAAAUGUAUUUCCUAGAAGCUGUAUGUUAAUAACAGUUUUAACCUUGAGUAAUGCUCAUAAGAAAUAGAAAGUGACAUUAGAACUUGAAAAAACUUAAGUUACUCUAUUGGAUAGCAGGAUUAGAUAUCCUCUAAAUUCAUGUAAUCUGAGAAGUAAUCAUAAAUUGGAGAAAUAAAAUCAACCAUUUCUUAUA